rnacentral:rRNA from 1 species
GUGGGGAAUCUUGGACAAUGGGGGCAACCCUGAUGCAGCGACGCCGCGUGAGCGAUGAAGCCCUUCGGGGCGUAAAGCUCUUUCGACCGGAACGAUAAUGACGGUACCGGGAGAAGAAGCUGCGGCUAACUACGUGCCAGCAGCCGCGGUAAUACGUAGGCAGCAAGCGUUGUUCGGAGUUACUGGGCGUAAAGAGUGCGUAGGCGGUUUUCUAAGUUCGGUGUGAAAUCUCCCGGCUUAACUGGGAGGGUGCGCCGAAGACUGGGAAGCUGGAGUGUGGGAAAGGCAGGCGGAAUUCCUGGUGUAGCGGUGAAAUGCGUAGAUAUCAGGAGGAACACCGGCGGUGUAGACGGCUUGCUAGACCAUAACUGACGCUGAGGCACGAAAGCGUGGGUAGCAAACA